CUUUUAGCCUAUGUGUGUCCUCAAAGCUGAAGUGAGACUCUUGUAGGCAUCAUACAGUGGCUUGCUUUUUUUUAAAAU